CAGAGGGAGAAGCAGACUCCCUGCUCAUCAGGGAGCCAGAUGUGGGACUUGAUCCCAGAACCUGAUAUCAUGACCUGAACUGAAAGCAGAUGCUUAACCGACUGCUUCCCAGGCACCCCCACACUUAGCUUCGUUCUAUGUCCCGUGUUGCUCCCAGGCCUGGGAACUGUGGGCACAUGGAGAGAGGAGCCAGGAAAUUACAAGAAGUAGGGAGAAACAGAUUCCAGACAGAGCAAGGAGCCAGCUUAUGACAGUUUCCUCCCUUUCCUCUCCUGCUAAGUGAAAACAGUAUGCAAGGGAUUGAGACGGAGGCCUCUUGUUUUCACAAUGGUUGUUCUUUGCACACCAGGUGCAUAACCAAUGUGCACUAAGUAUUUUUCAGUAAGCUAAUUGAUUAAGGGACUGUUUCCAAAAUUUCUGCUUGGGACUCAAACAUUAAGGCCAUCAACAAGCUAGCAAACUGCCCUUUCUCAGAUGUUGCUUCCUGUUUCUGAUUGUAAUUCCCCAUGCCAAGCUUGCUAAUUGGCUCAUUUGCCUUGGGUCCACUGUAUCCUAAGCUUUGUCCACUCACGUAAAUAGCAGAUUAGUUCCAAUAGGACUAUGGUGCACAAUGCCUACUUUUUGGCUUCCCAGCAUCUGAAUCCACAUCCUACUUGUGGGGAGGCCCCCAGUGUGGCAGCAGAGAUGGAAAGCAGGCUCCCACUUCCCACAAAGGAAGCCAGAAUAGAAAGCUAGUGUUUUCUAUCCCAUCCCUCUGGAAUCAGAAUGAAGGCAUAGAGUUUCCUUGAACCUGUGGGAUCUUCCCACCAGGGACUUCAACCUUGAAUGAGUGACAGAGAGACAGAUGAGUGAUGAGAUCCAGUUCAUAGCCAUGGCAGUGGUCAUUUAGCAAAGGCAGUUAUGUGGUGUCCUGUGGUGGGGACUGUGUAUGAUUUGGUGGUGGCAAGCUUGUUUCUACUGUCUGGAUGCCUCUACCAGCCCUCCCAUCCAUGUGGACAAUGACCUGACAUCACUCCAAUAGAUAACAUUUUGCUUGAGUUAACCAGAUUUGAUUUCUGUUGGUUGUGAUUAGGAACUUUGAGUGAUAACAGGAAAAGAAGAAAGACAGUCUCUCCAGCCCUUUAAAUCACCUUUACCGUGCAGCAUGAGUUGAAAUAAAGGCUCCAGCCCUUGAAUGACUCCUGUGAUGGUUAAUUUUAUGUGUUAACUUAAUUGCUAGCAGUACCAUUCUAGGGCAAGAUAGUAAAUAAUUAUUUUUUGGUCAGAUGAUUAAACCUUAUGGCAAGUUACAUUCUCAAAACAGAAAGUCUCUCUAUUACUAUUUGGGCUUGUAAAAUGAUCGAGAUAGAAACUACACUGUCAGAAAGAAAGCAUAAGGGAUCAGGAAUUGGGAAAGCAGGAUUCCAGCACUAGUCUGCUUUUCAAUCAUUUAUUUUGUGCCGGUAGCCAAUUUCCAUUUUUGGUAACUUCCCACUUCUAGAAUGAGAGUACCCAUUCUAGAUGUCACCAUGUUACUUUUAUCAGAGGUAAUGAUGAUAUAUGGAAAUUUGGAAGUGAUUUUACUUAUGAUCGUGCUUGAAAAGUAAAAAUUUUAAACCAAAUAGUACUAUUGGCCAGCAACAUUUUCAGACAGUUAUGAAAACCUAGCUCUUAUCCAGCACGCGACCGGGAUUUCAAAAUUGUUUUCUGCAAAGGUUCUGGUCUGUUUUUGGAUCCUCUACAGAAAACAGUCAAGUCCUCAGAGAGGCCGCAUAUUCACUUGAACUUUAGCUAUGAGAGGUUCAUUGUGUCUCUAUGUUCCCUUCUCUGGGAGAAUAUGAAAGGAAGGAAUUUGGCCUACUAUAUAAUUUUUUUUUUUAAAUUAGCAUGGACUUGGAGUCAGAGAAUCCUGGGGUCAAAAUCCAAUUCCCACCAUCUAAUUGGUUGUAUGAUGUUGAGUGGGUUAUUAUUUAAUUUCUGAGUCCCCAUCUCUUCAUAUAUAAUAGAAAAAAAAAAUACCUUCCUUAGAGACAGGAGGGAGGAUCGGCUGAAGUCACGUUUAUAGACAUCUGAUGGGUUACCUUGCAUAUCCUGGUGCACAGUGUCUUUUGGUUCCCUUUUCCUUCCCUGUAUGAAGAAUUUUUAGGGACGCUUGGGUGGCUCAGUUGGUUGUGCAUCUGCCUUCAGCUCAGGACAUGAUCCCGGGGUCCUGGGAUGGAGCCCCAGGUCAGGCUUCCUGCUCAGUGGGGAGUUUGCAUCUCCUUCUCCCUCUGCCCUACCCUCUGCUCAUGUGCUCUUGUGCUCUCUCAAAUAAAUCUUAAAAAAAAAAAAAGAAUUUUUAAACAAUGCCCAAGACUCAAUCAAGGAUAAGAGAAUUAUGGGUCAAUGAGUAGAAUUAGGUGCAAUAUAUGAAUCUGUAUCUUGAGAAAAAUGUGAUCUCAAGUAAAGGUCUAAUCAUAGUAACAUUAGCUCGUAUCGACCAAGAAAGAAUAAAAGUUGGAUCACAUCCUAUAUUUCCAGAAAUUCCAGAAGUUUCCAAAAAUGAAAGGGGAGAAAGCUAACUGUUGAUUACCGAGACCUAAAAGUUGGGAGCUACAUAUUUUUUUCAGUUUGUCCACUCUAGGUCUCACUGAGUAACCAGACAAAUGCUUCAUUUUUCUGAAGUUAGCUUCCCAAAUCGGGGAAUGAGGGAUUUAUUUUAUUUUGCUGGGCAGUCAAUGCCAUGUGCUCGGAGAGUCUUGGAUGAGAGAUGGAGUCCAUCUGAAAUAUUGUUGUUGACAAAAGUAAAUCAAACAUCAAAACCUCCAGGGCUCUAUUCAUCACUUCUCCUCAGAAAAGCUGUGUAGGGCAUUUCUGGUGAAAUAUAACACGUAACCCAAUGCAAAUUUCUUGCAAAUUAUUUUCAUAGGAUAAAAUAUUAUUUCACUGGGACUGUCACUCUUACUUUAACAUUUUACUUGGAAGACAGCCCUCAAACCUGCUGACCAAAAAAUUUCUAUUGCUCUUUUGGGGUAGUUAAAAACUAGAGACAGAAAUAAAGGCAAAAGAAAAAAAACCCCAAAACGAAAAACCAAAACAAAACAAACAAGCAAACAAAUGAACAAAAAAUGAAAUGAAGCCCAAAAAAAUGACUCAGGGAGAAAAAAACCACUGACAGCCCUCCCAAAUCUUACUUGAACUGCAAAGAUUACCAGGAAUGUUUGGGUUUGAUGGCAUUUGUGGGAUGUCAGCUAAAACAACAUGGUUCUCUUUUCUGGAAAUAGUGACUUCAAACAUAUCACUUCAGACUCUUCUCAGCAAAAAGCACAGAAAACGAAAAAGGAAGCUAGAGCUUCUCUCUCUGUACCAGUCUCUGUCUCCCACCCUACCCCAGCAGAGUGAAGGUCUUGAAAGCCAAGAAGGGCCACACUGAAAGUGUCCACACCCACACUCCCUAGAGGCUGCCGCACCUCCCAAAACCCCAGGCAUUUCAGGGCCAUGGAAUGCUUGGCAGAGUGCCCCUCAGAGAAAUGUUGGCUCACCAAGUCAGCGUCACGCUUCCCCAAUCGCGGAGUCCACCAUGAGGCAGGUGGGAGAUGAACCCGUGCUGGCACUAACCAUGGAGACAAGCAGGAGGACAAGCAUGAAGAAGCUGAUGGCGAGGCAACGGAGAGACGCUGUUAGAGCAGCCCUGACUCAUACUGGGUCUCGUCAAUAAAGAAUUUUCCCUCCCUCCAGAAUGCUACAUGAAGGCGUGUUUGGUGUUUGUGAUCAGCAGGUUAUGCACACGCUGGACUGGUCACAUGCUGAACCUAUAAAGACAUGGAGGCUGGCGGUGCUAAUUCCACUGGGUUAAAUUCCACAAGGAGGACAGGUUUUAUUAAAGCUGGAGCCAGGCGGAGGGAGGCAGCUGUGGGCUGGGGCAUUGGGCCCGAGGCGGAAAUUUGUACCUUCCUUCCCCUGCCUGCCACAGGAUUCCAUCCCAUCCUCUGGAAGAAAGAGAGAGACAGAGACAGAGAGAAAGGAAGAAGGAAGAAAGGAAAAGAGAAAAAAACCUCCUAAACUCUGCAGUUAUUCUAUAUGAUCUUGAUUUUUGUUGUUGUUUUUUGUUUUUGGGGAGCCCAACAUGGGGAUUGAACUCACAACUUUGAGAUCAAGACCUGAGCUGACAUCAAGAGUCAGCUGUUUAACCAACAGAGCCACCCAGGCACCCCUAUUUGAUCUUGACCUUAAAGGGAAACCUUUCCUCUGGCUUGGGGUCUGGCUGGGUGUUGACAGGCUACAUGGCACCUUGGGGAUGCUGUCACAGGGGCAGGAAAAGCAUUUUGCAAAGGUGACAGGCCUGUGGCCCCCUGACCCUCAACUUAGAGUCUCUUCGUGGCACAGCCCCUUUGGAAAGGCUUGGGCACCACUCACCAUUUACUGUCCUUCCUCUGACGCCCUGUUCUUUGACCUCCACUAACAAAUGACUUCCUGAUUACCUAAGCUGGGCCGCACCUGCCUCUGCGGACCAAGCUGUCACCCAAGAACUGUGCAGGGCUUCAUUGAAAUUCACGGAUCCACUGUGAAGUUACCUCCCUGGGCGUAUUUAUCUGGAAGGGCGAGCUGGCUGCUUUGGAGUGUCUGGUGAUUAACUGUUUCUUCUUUGCCUUUUUUUUUUUUUUUUUUUAAACCCAUGCAAGGGCUGAGAAAGGAAAAUUCAAUCCUUGCUACUUGUGGAGUGUUGGGUCGGCAGUGUGGGCAACUUUGACAUGGGGACAAGUGCGGGUCCCCAGUGUGAAGUAGGGUGAGGGGAGAAAAGAUCACAGAAUUUCUGAAGCUCGAGUCAGUGGCAUUCAUGAGCAAAUCAUCCGUCUCCUGGUUCUUGACCUCCUUUGGGCAUUGGGAGGGCUGAUGAGCUCAUGCUUAUGAAGAGUGUAAGCCUUUAAUUGAAGUAUAAUUAAUAAUCAUCUGAUAAGUGAAUAACAAUAAUAAUGAUGAUGUAAUCCCCUUCCCCCACAGCCCCACUCCUGUUUCCUUGGGUAGUAACAUCAUGACAUGAUGUCCCAGUGUACUCAAUUAGAUGAAUGACUGGAGGUGCAGACAGAGCACAGCUAAGCGCCUGCUGGCACAGUCCAGGGUUGGCCUGCCACCGAGAAACCCGAGGGCACAGAACAAUGGAGCAAUGUUCUCUAAGUGUUGUGCUGUUUGGAUAAUGGACAAGUUCAAGCUGUUUCAUGACUCAGGACAGAAUUAUUCAAUCAAUUUCACAAGCAGGUGUGGAGGGCUCCUUUGGGUUCGGUGGUCUCUCUUGCUUCUGGGUGAGCUAAGAGCCCCAGCAGUUUUGGGGUAUUUGCUUGUGUAUUUCCUUCACCAUCAACCCUUUGCACAGGUUCCACAAAAUGUGCCAGGGACUCUCAUUGCUCUGGUGGCUCUGCUGUGACCCUUCUGUGCUGACCCUGCUGUGAUGGGACAACAGCAGCCUGAGGAAAGAUCCCCGUUGGAGCAGGGAAGCCCCGGGGGGCAUUUGCAACUGCAAGGGGCAUUUCUUCCCUGGCAUCUGAUGCCCAGCCCAGCUUCAGACAUCGGCCUGUUGCUCUGGGGUCAGGCCAGUUUCUAAAACACAUUCAGGAACAACCUUUAUUUUGACCCAACGAGGGGAAAAGAAAGGAGAGAGACAGCUCGCUUGGCCCCAGCUCAGGUAGGGUGGGCCAGGUCAGGCGGCUCACAGCAGGUGCCCAGCUGUAUCUGUUUCCAGCAGUUCCAUUAACACUUGGCAAGUUUCACUCACCUUCAGCAUUUGUAACAUGCAAUUGUUGACACAACUAAUAUUACUUCAUGCUCUCGGGUCUUUAUGUGUUCCCUUGCCAUUGUCAUCAGAACACAGGAUCUAUGGGGUUCAUUUUCUAUAGAUGCUGUGUUUGUUGAUGGCAGGGAGACAGUGUAUGCCCCCCUUCCCCAACCUUCCCCCCCAAAACACAGUGCCCUCAUUUUUUCUUUCUGGAUUGACGUUAAGCACUUAAUGUAAUUGCCUUGCAGAAAAAAAUAGCGAGAGAUGUACAGUCAGCCACACCGUGGCCUCAUAUUUCAAAAAUAAGCCAGGCUUCUUUUUAAAUGCUCCUUUACAGGGUGUGAAAUCAAUCAUGUCACGCGGGGUCCCCCAUGGUGCAGGGGAGGCAGACGCUUGUCUUACUCUAGAAACACAGCCAAUGAGUUGAGUCCUUCUCCUUCCCUGCCCACACCCCACCUACCCUCGGUGGUUCAUCCUACCACUUCCUACUUGGCUUCUCUUCAGUGGGCUUCCUCUUUUAUGUUGGCAGCUCGCUCUGUGAUUCUCAUCUGCUCGGUACACAGAAACCAUGACCGUUAAUAGUCCAAUCUCCUCCCUGAUGUCCGCCUGUUCAUUGGCCUUGGCCUCUGUUAGAGCACUACAGUUCAUUCUAGUGACUUUCUCAGUGUGACUCAGUUCCUGAAUCCUGGCCGUUCUCCAUACCCUCCCCUUUACCUUAUCUCCCUGGAAAUGCCUUUUUUUAAUGCAGACCCAGGCCUGCCUUCCCUCAAGCAACGCUCUCCUUUGCCUCUUGUGGAGCCAGCCCUCAAGUAGAAGCAGAGAAAAGAGAAAGCUUUUGACAAUUUGUUCUUGCUGAUCUAUUGUAUUCGGGGAUGGGACCAAGAGUAAAGCAAAAACAGCUUAGAGAAGUGAAUCCUGUAUAUAACUAAAGGUUAUAGUUUUCUUCUACUCGCUGCUUACCUGCUGAUGGAGAAUGAUCAAGGCUGACCUUAAGAAAAUAGCAGCUAAAGAGGGGACUAGGACAAAGGGGUUGGAAAAUCUACAAGCCAGGCACACAGCCCUUAGCUGUGCUGUGUUUUACUCACCUCCUGGCCCUGCUGAAUAGUUUUGCUGGGGCUCUGGGUGAGCCAGACCACCUUCCAAAAAACCAUUCCUUGCCUCUGCCUGCUUGGCGCUGGAUUUCCUCUUCUUAUGACUGGUGUGUGUGCUCUGACACCCAAGGAGGUGAGGCUCUGGUCAUUACUGUUUCCUAGCCACCUGCCUUGGAGAGAAUAGUCAGAACACACCCAUUUUGCCCCUCGACCUGACCUGUUCAGCCUGGCUGCAGGGGGCCCGGAGCCCUUCUCUGUAUGUGCACAUGCACACUUACACAGGAUGUGCUGGCUAGCCAUCUUGGCGUGUUUUCUAGUUAAUAACUCAAAAUCUGAAUGUGAUAGCUCUUUUCUCCAUAUGUCAUGAAAUCUGAGUUUUUGAGGGGUUGUCUUGUCAAGAUGCUUGUAGCUGGUUCAGAAUAAUGACUACAAAUAGGAUUAUACCAAGGAAAUCAAAAUACCAGGCUGCACAAGGGAGACUGCCAUCUCCCCUUGGGGGUUUCUUCUUUUCUUCUGUUUCCCCAGAAUAGUAAGCUUAGGUCUUUUUUUGAUAAUUAAUUAAUUAAUUAAUUAUUGAGAAAGAGAGAGAGGCAC